rnacentral:misc_RNA from 1 species
UUUCCGUAGGUGAACCUGCGGAAGGAUCAUUAUCGUACAAAAUGUGAGGGGCAUGCGAGGGCUGUCGCUGACCCAAUAGUCGUGCACGCCCGAGUGUGCCCUCUUGCAUAAUAAUCCAUCUCACCCUUUGUGCCUCACCGCGUGGGCACCCGUCGGGAUCAUCUCGGAGGGGGGCUCGCGUUUUCACACAAACCCCCCUUUUAAAAGUGUAGAAUGACCACAUUUAUGCAAUCAAUACAACUUUCAACAACGGAUCUCUUGGCUCUC